GAGGGUAUAGCUCAGUGACAGAGCGCGUGCUUAGCAUGCACAAGAUCCUGGGUUCAAUCCCCAGGACCUCCU
rnacentral:tRNA from 1 species